CUUUGUGUGUCUGCCCUCUCAGCUAAAUAUACACUGCCUCUUCUUGAAAAACAAUUCGUGCAGAAUCCCAGCAACUGUUUACAGAUUAACCUAAAAAAUUAUCUGUUUAAUUUUUUAGUUAAUGCUUAUGGGACUGUGGAGUGAACAACUGGCUCCCUGCUAGCAGUACCACAAUAGCUACAGGGUCAAAAAUAUUCAGUUAUCAAGUGGCUUCAAAUGUCCUGAGCUGCAAAAGGUGGUAACGAAAAUCAAGAAACUUCUGUUCCGUAUAAUCUCAUUUCAAAGAUCAACAUCAAGAAUUCAUGUGGACAAUAAAUGGAGACAGAGAUUUAGAGCAAAAAGAAACCUUUGUGGAACUGUCACUUCGGUCUGGAAGAUCUGUAAUGUUACAGACCUGCUUCCUGGCAUCUUCAAUGAUUUUGUUACCUAAUGGAGCUGGAGUGAGGCUGGAAACUGUCUAUUUGAUAGUUGAGCUUCUAUAAGGCACUUGGAGUAUUGUGUGAGGUUUUGGGCUCCUUAUUUUAGAAAGGAUAUAAUGACAUUGGAGAGGGUUCAGAGAAGAUUCACAAGAAUAACUCUAGGAAUGGAAGGGUUACCAUAUGGGAAACGUCUGCCAGGUCUUGGACUGCAUUCCCGGGAGUUCAGGAGAAUGAGGGGGGAAACUCAUAGAAACAUUCCGAAUGUUAAAAGGCCUGAACCGUUCAGAUAUGGCAAAGUUAGUUCCCAUUGUAUGGGAGUCUAGGACAAGAGGUCACAACUUCAGGCUUGAAGAAUGUCCAUUUAGAACAGAAAUGUGUAGAAAUUACUUUUAGUCAGAGGGUGGUAUUGAAUUUGUUGCCAUGAGCGGCUGUGGAGGCCAAGUCAUUGGGUGUAUUUAAGGCAGAGAUAGAUAGGCUCCUGAUUAGCAGGAGCAUCAAAGGGUAUGGGGAGAAGGCAGGGCAGUGUAGAUGACUGGAAGAAUUGGAUUAGCCCAUGAGUGAAUGGCAGAAUGGAUUUGAUGGGCUGAAUGGCCUACAUCUGCUUCUAUAUUUAAUGGUCUAUUUUAUAUCUCAUCCCUAGUUUGUUAUGGAGAAUGUGGGUUACAAAAUCCCUCUUGAAUUAUAUUUCAUUUUUUAAUGUAACCUAUGUUAUUGGUUACAUUUAAAUCUGUCCUAAAACAGAUAGUCUUUUAUGUUGAGACUGAUAACACUGGAUGCUGCCUGUGGUGAACUACAUAUACCUUUCUGGACACGCCCCCUGCUGACUGCUCCUGUGGCUCCUCCCACAAACCCCAGUAUAAAGGCGAUUGAGGCCUGAGGCCGGCCUCUCAGUCUCCAGGAUGUAGUAUGGUGGUCACUCACUGCUUGUUCCUUCUUCCAGUCAAUAAAAGCUGAUAUCUCGC